rnacentral:sRNA from 1 species
AACUAGCCCCGAUAGUAACGGCAUCCUUUUUAUUUUUUUAGCAAAAAAAAAUAAAAAGAUAUAGUGGAUAGCGGGAUUAAGC